rnacentral:rRNA from 1 species
AUGAACGCUGGCGGCGUGCCUAAUACAUGCAAGUCGAGCGAACGGACGAGAAGCUUGCUUCUCUGAUGUUAGCGGCGGGCGGGUGAGUAACACGUGGAUAACCUACCUAUAAGACUGGGAUAACUUCGGGAAACCGGAGCUAAUACCGGAUAAUAUUUUGAACCGCAUGGUUCAAAAGUGAAAGACGGUCUUGCUGUCACUUAUAGAUGGAUCCGCGCUGCAUUAGCUAGUUGGUAAGGUAACGGCUUACCAAGGCAACGAUGCAUAGCCGACCUGAGAGGGUGAUCGGCCACACUGGAACUGAGACACGGUCCAGACUCCUACGGGAGGCAGCAGUAGGGAAUCUUCCGCAAUGGGCGAAAGCCUGGCGGAGCAACGCCGCGUGAGUGAUGAAGGUCUUCGGAUCGUAAAACUCUGUUAUUAGGGAAGAACAUAUGUGUAAGUAACUGUGCACAUCUUGACGGUACCUAAUCAGAAAGCCACGGCUAACUACGUG